rnacentral:rRNA from 1 species
AUCUUCGGCAAUGGACGGAAGUCUGACCGAGCAACGCCGCGUGAGUGAGGAAGGUUUUCGGAUCGUAAAGCUCUGUUGCCAGGGAAGAAGAGCCCGGGGAGGGAAUGCCCCGGGAGUGACGGUACCUGAGAAGAAAGCCACGGCUAACUACGUGCCAGCAGCCGCGGUAAUACGUAGGGGGCAAGCGUUGUCCGGAAUUAUUGGGCGUAAAGCGCGCGCAGGCGGUUCUUUAAGUCUUGUGUUUAAGCCCAGAGCUCAACUCUGGUACGCAUGGGAAACUGGGGGACUGGAGUGCAGGAGAGGAAAGUGGAAUUCCACGUGUAGCGGUGAAAUGCGUAGAUAUGUGGAGGAACACCAGUGGCGAAGGCGACUUUCUGGCCUGUAACUGACGCUGAGGCGCGAAAGCGUGGGGAGCAAACAGG